rnacentral:rRNA from 1 species
AUGACAUACUCCGUUGCAUUUCCACGUUCUGUUAUACUCCAAGCAUUAGCAAUCUCCUCCACAGUUUCAGUUUUUCUAACAAAGACUGGAGCGGAAGAUACUCCGGGGCAAGCAGUUUGCCCCUCUUUCUCCUGUGGGCAUCUCCAAGACAUCCACCAUCCUUUUCGAUUGCGAGGGGAUCCACCUGGUUGUGGUGUUCAAGAAUACGAGCUUGUUUGUAGCGAUGACCAGGCUAUAAUUCAAGUCAAUACGGGAAGGUACUUCGUCACCAACAUCUCCUACCCCGACUCUGUUUUCUGGGUUGUUGAUGCCAGUUUGGAUAAUAGCAGCUGCCCUAUUCCUGAGAGGAAUCAACAUCCUUAUAUCUAUGGAUUGAGAUCAGAUUACAUGUUCUUGUUACAUAUGCGUACGGUUAAAUGGGCUGCCUUUGUCAGUUGUUCAAGGAUGAUGAAAGAUAAUCUUAUUUAUAAGCCUGUCGCUUGCCGGAGUACGAACACUUCUUUUGUUUAUGUGUUGAGUACCACGCAAUCUUAUCUGGUUCAGAAUGUUGAGCCUUCAUGUGGAUACUUGGCCAUGACUCCUUUGGGAAGCUGGGGUCUGGGGCCAAAUGAUUAUUCAACUUAUGAUUAUGAAGAUAUUGUAAAAUUUAUGAGGGAUGGGUUUGCUUUUAGAUUUCCUUUCCCAGCUCCAGAAUGGACAUAUCCUUGGAUCCUCAAGACAUGCCUGAAAAAUUCAAGGAGCGACUUCCAUGAACAGAUGUCUAGUUCAAGCAUCCAAAAUAAGAUUUCUGUGAUUUUUGCCAUCGACGUGCGUUUCUUGGGAUGUGUAAAAAACAACUCCUUGUCUGACUACACUAAAUUAUAUUGGGCUGUGUUGGUCAUAGUAUCUGCGAUAAGUAUCAUGAAGCUCAUUAUCGUGUUGACAGUACUAUCCAGGUUAGUCUUUGCACCGUUGUCCGUAUUGAUCUUCCUUGCCUACAAGUACUGGAAAACAAAGGUAGUAAUUGACGCAGUUGAGAAGUUCCUCCAGAUGCAACUAGCCCUUGGCCCAACAAGGUUCGCUUACACAGACAUCACUGCGAUCACUAGCCACUUCAGAGACAAGCUGGGCCAAGGAGGCUAUGGGUCCGUGUACAAAGGUGUGCUUCCCGGUGACGUCCAUGUUGCCAUCAAAAUGUUGGUCAGUUCCAUGUCCAAUGGAGAAGAAUUCAUCAGUGAGGUGUCCAGCAUCGGAAGCAUUCACCAUGUCAACGUAGUGCGUCUGGUGGGUUUCUGCUCGGAGGAAAUGAGGAGGGCUCUUGUCUAUGAGUACAUGCCUCAUGGAUCUCUUGAGAAGUACAUCUUCUCGCCCGAGAAGAGUUUCUCCUGGGACAAGCUCAAUCAGAUUGCUCUGGGCAUUGCCAGAGGGAUCGACUACCUGCACCGAGGGUGCGAUAUGCAGAUAUUACACUUCGACAUCAAGCCGCACAACAUCCUGUUGGACAGUGACUUCACCCCAAAAAUCGCUGACUUUGGGCUGGCAAAACUGUACCCCAGGGACAACAGCUUUUUGCCGGUGAGCGCUGCGCGGGGAACAGUCGGCUACAUAGCUCCUGAGAUGGUGUCCCGUAGCUUUGGCGCCAUAUCCUCCAAGUCUGAUGUCUAUAGCUUCGGGAUGUUGCUGCUGGAGAUGGCUGGAGGGCGGAGGAACGUGGACCCACAAGCGUCAAGAAGCCAGACAUACUACCCGUCAUGGGUGUACAAUCAGCUGUCUCGGCAAGAGGCUGUUGGUAUCCAUCAGGUGGAGAGGAAGCUGUGCGUCGUUGCGCUUUGGUGCAUCCAGAUGAAGCCAGGCGAUCGACCGGCGAUGAGCGAGGUGAUAGACAUGCUCGAAGCUGGCAUCGAUGGCCUGGAGAUGCCUCCUGAGCCCUUCUUCUGCGGGGACGAGUACGCUCCUGCUGCAGAUUCUUCAGUAUUAUCAGAGAUAAGUACAUUCUCAGAGUGA